rnacentral:rRNA from 1 species
AGUCCUACGGGGGGCAGCAGUAGGGAAUUUUCGUCAAUGGGCGGAAGCCUGAACCAGCCAAGUCGCGUGAGGGAAUAAGGCCCUACGGGUCGUAAACCUCUUUUGCCGGGGAGCAAGGGCCGGGACGCGUCCCGGCCCGGAGAGUACCCGGAGAAAAAGCAUCGGCUAACUCCGUGCCAGCAGCCGCGGUAAUACGGAGGAUGCGAGCGUUAUCCGGAUUUAUUGGGUUUAAAGGGUGCGUAGGCGGAAUAUCAAGUCAGCGGUAAAAAUUCGGGGCUCAACCCCGUCGUGCCGUUGAAACUGAU